ensembl:snRNA U6 U6 spliceosomal RNA
GUGCUCACUUAGGCAUCACAAAUACUAAAAUUGUAAUGAUACAGAGAAGAUUAGCAUGGUCCCUGUGCAAGGAUGACAUGCAAAUUCGUGACGCAUUCAUAUUUUUA